UCUCCACGGAGAGGCGCUGUGGCUCCACACCAAAGCUGCCUCCCUGCUGCCGGGACGUCGACCACAAACCCCGGGGUUACCUGGACGUCCACCUGCUCCCCCCACUCAGAUACUAAUUGCGUGGGGAGGUAAACAUUGCAGUCAAGUGGAGAGGACGGCGAGUCAAGCGUGAAUAUCAAUCUCCCCCACAUCAGUGUCAUCAGAUGACUUUGACUGAGUCCCGCAAUAACAUCCAGGUGGAGGCCUCUGCAAGUACGGAAGCCUGCAGAGCUCACCAGUUAUGAGCUCUCCAGGCUCUACCUGCCUCGCUCCUGCUGCUGCCACACUACCCUUCAGCAAACUGAUGAACUGCGGCAACCUCAGAUUAACCUCCAACCCCAUCUUUCUUCUACUGCAAUCCCAGACCAUCACAGGAGCGGAGAUCUUUUUUAGGUCAUAAAAUUGAAAUAUAUUCUCCAUAUUCGGAGUAACUUUUUGUUAUUUUUUUAAAAUCUACUUUCUGCCAAGAAGACUGGAAAGACUGGAGUUACAGGGUGAGAUGUUGUUAUAAAA